rnacentral:rRNA from 1 species
GGCUCGAGUGGCGAACGGGUGAGUAACACGUGAGUAACCUGCCCUUGACUUUGGGAUAACUUCAGGAAACUGGGGCUAAUACCGGAUAGGAGCUCCUGCUGCAUGGUGGGGGUUGGAAAGUUUCGGCGGUUGGGGAUGGGCUCGCGGCUUAUCAGCUUGUUGGUGGGGUAGUGGCUUACCAAGGCUUUGACGGGUAGCCGGCCUGAGAGGGUGACCGGCCACAUUGGGACUGAGAUACGGCCCAG